AAUUUAAAAAUUAGAAUCAAGUCGCCUUACCAGUAUUAUCAUUUAUCUCCUCAUUCCGGCGAAGGGAGUAGCCGGCGCCGGUGGAUACCGUGCUUCCGAUGAUGCUGCGAUUUUGUUCCGUAAAAUAUAAUUCCGGCACUCCCUAUUUGCACAGAGCGCUCCUUCUGGUCUCUAAUCCGAUUGCUGUUUCGCUGACAUUCGAUUUAUUCGGUUUCUGCAUUUGAACUCCAGUGCUGUUUUUAUACGAAUUCAUGUGCGUGCAGUUUCUUGUUUUUGAUUUUCUAAUAGCUAAAGAAAUUCCUCGUAGCUAUGGAAUUUCGCUGGGCAUAAUUGCUCCUCACCUUUCCAACUAACGGAUUCACUGGUGAUUCGACCAGGGCACGAAGGGAGAAACAAUUGUAAUGUCAGUACUUUCAUACUGUUGAUGAAGCAUUGGAGGUUAGAGGGAGAGGGCGCCGAUUGAAUGAAGCGAAGCCUAUUAUGAACCAAAUAUGGAGAACAUUUUUGUCCUAUGCAUUCAUUGCAUAUAUUUCUCUUUGGCAAGCUUUUCUAACAAUAUCCACAGUGUUUGAUAACAUCCGAUGAACUACCUCCGCCCAAGGAUUCGCUCAGGAAUGCAAACGGAGGUGAAGAAAGAAUGUCAUAGGAAGACAGAAGAUUACAACAGUUAAUCAACUCAAGCCAGGCAAAGCCACAUUCAGGUGUUGAUAAGUUUAAGCACACAAAACAGAAGAGCUUUCGUCGUCUGUAUGCGUUUUUGGGCAAUUCUAAAGGAUGCACUAUGAUGUUCUUUGUAUGCGCAAUGAGAGAGCGCUCGGACGACAUAAAACUUCGGAGAUAAUUGAUGACGUUGUGCACAUAAAAUUGACACUAAUUAUGCCUUUUGAAAAAAACAAUAAUUCUCGAGAGUGCAUUGAUUUUAGUUGUCUUAUGUGCAUUUUACGCGUGCUCAUAUCUUUGGCAAGCUUUUCUAAUUUGAGUCCCAGGUGUCAUGCGGACGGCUCUAUCUUUGGCAAGCCUUUCUAACAUGGAUUCCUUGGCGUGCCUAGAUGAAGAUGUCCGCAUGACUGUGGCGAUGCCUUCACACCUGCGCGACCAUUAUAAGGGUGUUUGUAGCUGCUGUAGCGGCACCAACAUCCCCCAAGAGAGCGGUAAGAAUGUUCAAAAUGGCUGAUAUAUUUGAACUCGUAUAUUGGAGGUGGAGUAGCCUCAUCUAAAGUUGCUUCACUAACUGAUCGAGCUCGAUUAAGAUUUCUUUUGGGUAUUUGGUGUGUUUGGUUAUGUAUGAAGUAGCCUUGAGACUUUUUGGUCGAUAUUAAGUUAUAAUAAAAUUCCCGGCAUUUGUGCGGGACCUUUCCACGUUA